rnacentral:lncRNA from 1 species
UCUAUGCACUUUUUGAAGUACAGUCUACUCCUUUUUCUCCCAUCUGUGCAGGCCAGUGCCAAGGCACCUUCUUGGCAAAUGAUGCAAUUUGGGUGCUUGCAACCAGUUCUCUGGAGAUAUUGAGUGAAGACUGAGUCGAUUGUAGCUGAACAAAGGGAAGAUGAAAGAGGCUGUGAAAGAAAUCGUGCCAUUGAGAAUAGACGACUUAAUGGAGUUGUGGAGGUGUGUCAGAUGGGAUUUGUCUUCAUCACUGUGAGCUGCCCCUUUGUGCAGCUUCCUAUUGCUUAGAUCACUCCAGCUUCCAGCAAACUGAAGAAUACUCACUUUGUUCAAGCCUGUGAGUUGCAACUGACUUAAUUGCUUAGAAAAACAUCUUUACAGGACAAAGCAAAAGCAAACAAAGUGCUCCAAGAGUGCAGAAGAGUAGACUGAAAGAGAACUGGCACAGAAGGUGCUGCACUGUUGUGCCUGACCCACUGCCCUCUCUGAGUUCCAGAAACUGGAUGUAUGAACUUGCAGUAAACAUUUUAAAUGCUUACAGCCCUGGAAAGAAGAGUGAGCUACAUAUGAAAAGGCAUUAAAGUCAGUUCAUGUGAUGCAUACCUUUGUGAUUCCACUUCCCAUGGGAAUACAUCAGAAGACAAGGCACAUUAUUAAGAUAACUGUUACAUCGAUGAAGCCCUGCUUUGUAGAACAUUGGUUUGGGAAGUCUCACCUGAUCUAUCUGAAAUAGUCAUUGCAAGGAACCUUGUGACAAGCUCCUGUUGCCACCCAGACAGCCACCAACCACCCCGUGAAAGAGAUUUGAUUCCAGCAUGUAAGUGUUACUGUAUGCCAAGAUGAUGAUUGGUUUUAUUAUCAUUAUUCUUUUGAACAAGCAGUGU